CCUACGGGUGGCAGCAGUGAGGAAUAUUGGUCAAUGGACGAGAGUCUGAACCAGCCAAGUAGCGUGAAGGAUGACGGCCCGAUGGGUUGUAAACUUCUUUUAUAGGGGAAUAAAAUGUUCCACGUGUGGGAUUUUGUAUGUACCAUAUGAAUAAGGAUCGGCUAACUCCGUGCCAGCAGCCGCGGUAAUACGGAGGAUCCGAGCGUUAUCCGGAGUGAGUGGGUUUAAAGGGAGCGUAGGUGGAUUGUUAAGUCAGUUGUGAAAGUUUGCGGCUCCACCGUAAAAUUGCAGUUGAAACUGGCAGUCUUGAUUACAGUAGCGGUGGGCGGACUUCGUGUUGUAGCGG
rnacentral:rRNA from 1 species